ensembl:lncRNA
GGGCCACUGUCCUGCAGAGCUUAGCUCCAACCCUAAUUAAGCACACCUGAAUCAGCUAAUCAAGCUCUUACAUGGGCUGCGUUCAAGUCCAUUUUUUAUGCCCUUCACUCGCUAACUUCCCAAAAUCGAGGGGUCGAGGGUCUGUCCAUAUAAACUAUUUUCGUCCACGUCAUGAAGUGGAACACACUUCAGAAUGGCAGCAGGGAUUCCCCCGAGGGGAAGUGCUUAAGGAAGUUUGCGAGUGUGUGUCCUAAAGUGGAGUGGAACACAGCCCAGAUAUACUAGAAACUUCCAGACACACUGCGGUCAAUUAAAUGCCUCAGUAUGCCAGGAUAUGUACAGGAAUUUUGAUGUUAUGUUCAGUCAGUAUUUUCAUAAUAUACUUAAUUAGCUAUUGAUUCAAACAGCUCAGUUUUGCUGAAAAUUGAUUGGCUAUUGCAACUAUCUGGUGCUAAUUAGGCAAAUAACUUGACCAAUCAGAAUCAAGCAUUCCAGACAUCCAUCAAAUAAUGUUAAAGGUGAAUAUUGCUUUUCCAUACAAUCCCUCCAUCUGCCAUUGGUCAAAAAAAUAGAUAGUCCCGCCCCAAGCUUAUGCUAUUGGUCAGGAUGCUAAAAUAAACACAGCAAUGUUUUGAUAGCAAUCACAGAGAGUCUUUACAUUGUUUGUCAUAUUCAGAAAAAAAAGAAAAAAAUCUAUAAAUUAAAACAUUAUUUGACCACUUCCUUUUUUUUUUCAGAUCUAAAGAAGAACGUGUGACAGGCUAUAUGUUUCCGCCUACAUCGACAUCAACAAUAAUUUUUUUUACCCAGCUGAUUUCUCACUGGAAUGCAGUAAUUCUCAGUUUGAGGGCUACAGGUCUAGGUCAUCUUCAUCUUGGAGGUCAGGUUGAGGGUCUCUGAGGGGUUUAAUGCUCUUGCUCGUAUCUUGACAGGGUGUCCAAUUAUUUAAUUGGACAGACCUGCACACUGUAAUUUUAUUCGACAGUCUUGUGCCCUUUUACAAACCCUGUCCUAAGAGUCAAUGUACCGCAAGCGACAAAGACCUUCUGAACAGUGUCAUCUGGAUAACAUUAGGGUCUACAUUUUGAGGAUAAACUUCAAAAUUGGUAAACUGGCUUCCUUGCUGCAAAAUUGGUAUUCGAGUAGAUUUGGACAACAAAACAUGUUGAAUUAGAAUUGCAAAAAUAUGGAUAAUAUGGAAAAAUAUUGACCGACAUUUUUAAUUACAUAUAAAAUAUUGAGCUAAAAAAAAUUGUCACCAGUCUACUAAUAACAGAUGUCACGCUGUAUGUGGUAAGUUGCAAUCAAAUAGCCUAUUAUUCAAAAAUAGACAUACAAAAGAAUUCAUGAAACAGCACAAAUAGAAAAGUCAAAAUACUUGUCAUAAAUUUUUUUGGUCAGUGGUUUCAUCUAAUGCUGAUAAUGCAAUUUAGAAUUUAUAGACCUAUAUACAUUUAUUACCAAAGGCCUAUUAAAUUCAAAAACUGCAACAAUUUUCAGAUCUGUGCACCUAAUUUAUAUGUGUGUGUGGCGUCACUGAUUAUCAUUUCACAGCAUGCUUAUGAGCAUAAAAUACUGAAAACAAAUGUCGCUAUCAUUAAAAAAAUAAUAAUUCUGCAUUCUGUUUGCAGUAACUGAAUCGGAAUUUAUAAGGCGUUCUCGAGUCGGUUAUGAAUGGCGAACAUGCAGCUCAAAUGGCAGUCUAGUUCAAUCACGCGCUGCUUGUGCUGUUGUGUGGUUCAUCGUGUGGUUAUGGGCACGAUGAUGGCGUUCUCAUUUGAGCACAAAAACGCUUGGAAAUCUGUUUAGCUGACAAAACAGGAACAGCACUCAGGUUAAACUCGUGACAAUAAACUGACACCAAGCAUUCACUAUUAAAAACAUUCAACACGACGCUUCGGUGGUGUUCUCAAACGUUUCAGUAAACACAAAUGUAAGCGAAAGCGCGUGCAGCAGUCUAAUAGUCCCAUUCACCUGAGCAUCCAUACGCUUUCAGUAUCAUUGCGAUCAGUUUCAGACUGGGACUGCCAGUGUUUACAUUGAAUUACAUCAUACAAAGUUUUGUUUAAAAUGAUUCCAUCGAUACCGUUCUAGUGGCACCAAAUGACAGAUUGCGCGACCCAAAAAGCAAUAGAGUAAAUUUCUUAUUUCUAUAACGAAUACUGCUGAAAGAUGGUUAGCUCUUUAUUCUCAUGCCUAAUGCUAUAAAGCAGUCGCAUCCGAUUCCCUUCUGCGUAAAGUUAUCAUAAAUGCGGGUGCAGCACUAAUAGCAUGCAGGGGACAGCACGUAAACCAAUACAUUUGAAUCACAAAACAUGCAUAGUCCUCUAAACACACUGUAUGGCUGAAAGAGGCUACUGGAGCGGUUGGUUUAUCAAAGGCGAUACGUCAUUGCGAGCCGCAGCGAUUGGCUGGAUUCCGCUCCUUUUUCUCCAGAAUUUGCAACCGCGAGCGGUCUUCGCCUCCGGAGCAGCGACAUCUCACAGUAGAGGUCAUUGGACUGCUGCCUCCACUGGCCCUGGAAGCUCUUGCCUCCAUCCAUCCAUCCACCCAUCCAUCCAUCCAUCCAUCCAUCCAUCCAUCCACAUGGUCAUCCAUUCAGAACUUUAAAACAAACCAUCAGUCAUAGUUUUUCUUGACAGAAUUCACCUUUUUAGUUAAAAAUGACAGUUCUGUGAAUUUCUUUCAUUUUCAACAUCAGUUUUAAAUUCAGGAAAUGAAUCAGAAUGUAUAAGUCACUCUCAGUUCAGUCCUGAAUGGUGCACAAUGAAACUCAAUGCUGCUGCUGGCAUGUUCCUGACGGAGGUGUAGGAUGUGAAACACAGGAGUAACAUGCAGCUGUCAGCCAUCUAAACCGUACUUCAGAGCUGAAUCCAAUCACCCUUCACAAAUCAAAUAAUUAGUGGCCCUCCAUCUACAGUACUGUAUGUUAAAAGGCUAAUUGCUUGACUGCGGCAGUUUCUACUUUGUGUGGGACAUGAUCAAUUGUGACAGAGGAGCACCGCUGGCUAGAGAACAACAUCUCCUCUCCUCUGCUCAGUUUUUCUUUCUUCUUGAACUGAAUGUUAUGGUUACAGUGUGUGAUACCACUGACAAAAGGGAAAAGAACAAACAGAAGAUGUGGGAGAUCUUUGCGCCUCCCCUGCAGCCAAUCAGAGAGCGUCUGAGUAAAUACACCUGUGUGUUCCUCACUGUGCCAAACUUGUGCCCACUACACAGCCCACUCUCCUCUCUAUGUCUCAGUGUGUGUGGGCCGCCGCAGUCAUCGGCAGCGCUCUGUACACGUAACGGCUCUCUCGGCCCACGGCGCAUUACUGUGUCAAUUUAUUAUUCGCUAUGAUUAAGAAGAUUAUGGCUGGAUGACUGAAAUUAAUCUAAAAGUUUAUAAACUGUUUUCUUUUUGCUGAAUGCAUAUGUCUUGUAUAUGUUAGCUACUUCAUCCCACAUCGUGGAAGUGUUUGGUGAUUCAUCACAGUGAUCUUCAAACCCCAGAUCAUAACACAACUUUAUUCCAAACGCACAUCUGCAUCAAAAUGUCAAGAAGCACUGCAGGUGCAUGAUUCGACGACUGAAUCCUCAUGUUCUUGUUUACGCUGCUAUUCGCGAAUAUCCCAGAUAGCAAAAUACACUCGGGCCAGUUCUGGUUAGAUCCUCGCCUGCCGGAGACUUACCACUCGUCUGCCGCACCGAAUGCCUGUGGACUAUGCCUGUGGACCGAAUGCCUGAGGACUGCCCGGAAUCGGCCCGACACUGAAGUGCACAGUCCAUUUAUAAGAUCUACUUUACUUUUCAC